CGGUUCGGCAAGACCUCGCGGAGCCUGGCGGUGGCGCGGGGACUCGGGAGCCGGCGGUCCCACCCCGCGGCGAGUGUCCUAGCAGCUCUUGGCUCACUCGCUGAGCCUGGACGCCACCCCAGUGCCCACCACCUGGGGAGUGGAGGGGUCAGCUCUGGAAGGUCCUCGGCAAGGCGCACCCGCACAGCCCCGCGCCGGGACGGGGAGACCUCGACGACGUGGCAGUAAGAGACGAAAACCCAGCCGUGUCUCUGCCCGGCUGGGCCCCGGGGCGCUGCAGGCUCCCCUGCCGACGCCCGCCCGCCUCCUGCUCCCCCGUGGCCCCCCGCGCUCUAGAACGGGGGGCUUCGCAGGAGAACGGCUGCUCUCUGGAUAUUUCACCUGCAGGCGAGGACACCGAGGCCCAGAGCAGUUCAGCGAUUUGCCAGACAUCACCUACCCAGUGCCCUGUGUUCGUCUCCUGGGACCACAGGCGGGGGCUUGAAGAGCAGACGUUUAUUCUCUCACGUUCUGGAGGCUGGGAGUUCAAGACCACGGCGUGGGCAGGGCACCGCGAACCCCACUGUCUCGUGUGUUUGAAAUCUGCUGAUUUUACCAAACGUGAUCAGACGCUGGGGAACGACUCCUGCCCCCGCCCAACCCUCCUCUCCCCCCCCUUCGCCCCCCCACCCCGUCACCCUGCUGGCCUCCAGCCCAGUUAAGGGGAAUGUCCACCGCAGAAGGCCCAGUGCUUCAGAGAGGAUAAAACACCCUCUAAAUGCACAUUAUUGUUAUUUUUAUUACAGGCAUCAGAGCAAAACCACCAGUUUAAAAGAGCUAAUUUAGUUAGGUCAGGCAUAAGUGCUACUCGAGUUGAAAACUCAUUCUCCUUUGCGGUAUUUUCUUUUGGGUAUAAAUCAAGAGAAGGGCUCUAAAAAUAUUUUUAGUAUGAGUGGCGUUCAAUCAUCUGGUCAGUCACCUCUCAGCAUACUUACCGACGGGGACCUCCGUGUGAUUCCCCCGACGGGCCUGCCCACAGGCCCGCCUUCCUCCCUCCACUCAAACCGUAUCUGAUUUCACCGGUUCCAAAAGGGAGCGGAGAACUCCACCGCCCACGACUGUGCAGCGCGGGGGAGGGGCUCCACUGCAGACCCACGCUGUGUGGACCUGGGGAGAGCUCUCCUGGUUACGUGGGGUGGGGGGGCUCCCGUGGGGUGGGGGGACUCCCCUCUCCACUCGCCUGUGCCUCCCCAGAACGGCCCUCCCUCCCCCCCACCCCACCCCCCAGUGGACACACAACCCAAGUCCUCGUGUGAAAGUUAAAUAUUCCCGGGAGGCCAAACGCCGUGUACCAGGACUGGCGCACGGGCCACUCGGCUGCUGGCCCCGCCUGAGCCCGGGGUGGACGUUCCUAAUCCAUCAGGCUCGGCACCCGCUAAGCCUGCUCUCCGGCGGGGGGCCCAGGCAGACGCCCCCACGACCAGAGUCAGCCCGUGGGUGGGGACCGGCAGCCACCCCCACCUGAACCCCCGGUGGGGAAGAAGACCAGGACGAGGGAGAGGAAGGUGAUGGGUGUAACCCACGACGUGUACAAAAUUAAAUAAACUGUGGCAAAAUGCACAUCACGUCAAAAUUGCCACCUUAACCGGU